rnacentral:lncRNA from 1 species
CUGAAUUGUGCUUUAUUUUUGCUUUUAAUAAAAAAUUAAAUAUAAAAUUUGUACAGUGAUAAAUUAUAAAUUUACAAGAUAUAUACAAAAUAUAAAAUUCAUAUACAAAGCUAAAUAUUUUAACAAGAAGGUUCACAAAUUCAUGUCUAACAUGAAUAUAGGACUUGUACCAGGAAGUUAUCACACAUUUAAAAACCAUUUUGGGGUUUAUUCUCUUAACUGGCUAUUAUGGAAAAUCGGCAAGAAAUUUGCAAAUUUAGGGCUAAAAUAUCCAAACUGGGGGGAAAAAAAAUUACCAACUAUUUGUUUAGCUACUUUGUUCUAAAAUGUAUAAUUUACUUGUCAAUUAGUCGCAAUGAGCAGUUUAGUAAAUAAACCCCUAUAUGUUUAAUAAAAUGUUGUUUCCACCACAUUUCAGAGGCACAAGAAUACAGCCAACACACAUACAUUCUUCUAAAUAAAACAAAUGCAAGGUUUUUCGCAAGCAUCAUUUGAAAUUACAAACGCCAUCUUGUAUUAUCCGGCUCUAAAAAUGCUUAAAGGGACAACAAGAUAAGGCUAAAUACAAGUAAGGUGAAAUAAUUUAAUACAUUAUGUUGCUGUUUUUGCUGCAUUUUUGCUCUUACUCUAGAGAACACUUUCUGACUGACCGUUUGGGGAUGAAGGAUGGAAAAACAAAAUGGCGCCUGUUACCUGUUGACAAACAACAUCUUAAUUCUACGUAUAUUAAAGUAUGAAAGGAUGUAUUUGUUUUUGUUAACAAUACAAGAUGGUCUUUUACAGAUGACAAACUUGGAUAUUAGAUAUAUUUUCCUUUAACGGCACGGUCACUUGAGGGGUUUCCAAGGCACCAUGUCUGCUUGCAUAUUUGUAUUGAAUGAAUAGAGAAGAUUAAAUUAACCUCUCUUUUCCAUGUUCUGCCAUCUUCCAGUUCUAUACAAUCUUCUGCUAUUGUCAGAUGAAGUCGGAUCAACAGGGCAAUCGCUCAUAACUAAAAGAAUAAAAAAUGGGGUACCACGGAAGACCCUGCAAAAGCACAAGAUACUCUAUAAAUCAUCUAGAACAGUGGUUCCCAACCCAGUCCACGGGAAACCAACAGUAGUCCAGGAUUUAGGGAUUACCCUGUUGUGUCUAGAGUGUUUUUUUUUUCUUUCUUUCUAAAAACACCUUAGACACAACUGGGUAAUGCCUAAAUCCUGGAUUGUUAAGGGGGUACUUUAGAACUGGGUUGGGAACCACUGUUCUAGAACAUAUGCUAUGAAAAACUUAAAAUGACGCUUUAUUGAAUAUCAGUAUUCCUCCCACUUAUAGGAUGGUUCUCUUUUUAUCUAUUUUAGUUACAAGGAGAGGAAAAAUUCCUUGAGUAUGACGCGCUCCAAAAAAGAAAGGCACUGUUUCAUUUCUCAACAUAAUUAGUUUAAAACUGAAAAGUAGACGCAACUUAAAGAAACAAUUAUUAUGUUGUUAUAGCUGGACACGGGCCUGCGCAGCCUGCCAGAACUUGUUUUCUUCUAGAAAAUACAUUGGGUUCAUUCACUAAAUAGUGGGUUAAGGCAAGUCGACAAACCAAUUUGCAAAAUUUAGGAGAAUAUAAAAACUCUGUCCUAAUUCCGACUUUAGCCAACGUUCAUUAGUCUACACCACUAAGCUAUUAAAUCCCUUAAAAUUACAGUCAAAGCAGGUUGUAGUGGGUAUGUUGCCAGGAGUAGCUUGCAGUCCACCAAUGUAAGUAGUUGAUCAUUCUCAGCCAAUGAGCUAAAACCUGCAUCAAAUUUUUUCAGUUCUGCUAUUUUGGCAUUAAAUGUAAAAUUUACUUCCAAUUCCCGGCAAUUCUCACUGUGAUGAUUAAACCUGAUAUGAGGGGAUUUGAUGCUGUCCAAUAGAAUGUUAUAUAGUGGUUUAACCCCAUAAGGACCAAACUUCUGGAAUAAAAGGGAAUCUUGACAUGUCACACAUGUCAUGUGUCCUUAAGGGGUUAAAGGGCCUCAGUGAUAAUUCAUUUAGACAGUCCUGUAGAUUGCCCAAAGCUCUGGCCAGUGGAACUAUUUUAAUCACUUCAUGGUUUAUGCACUGAACUGGAAAUUGAGGAGAAUUGAUCAUUUUAGGUCAAAUUAGAAGAAGAUUUCAGUAAAAUUCUCCAAGUUACCCACAUAUCAAGCUUAGCUAUUUUGACUUUCAUUAUGCAAUCCCCCUGUCAAUUCUGCACGUUUCCUAGUGUAUUGAAUUAGCCAUAAUGUCAGUAUCCAUUUCUGGUGGAAAUCAUAGCUGAGGCUCUGUCGCUAGAUUUGUGUUUUCUCCUCAGCAUAUUGCUUCUUCUGUUUUGCUUAUGAAUUCAAACAUCCUACUGGUCAAUAAAAUUUGCAUUACCCAUCAGCCUCUAUGUGGGAAACAUCUGCUGAAACCACAAACGUAGUUUGAGGAAGAAAAAAAAAAAAAACUUUUCUUCCAUCUUUGCAAUUAAUGCCCCUUUAAGUGAACUUGUCUUAAGAACAAUAUUCAACUUUAAACAACACGCCAUAGUAUUUCUUGCCAAAAGCAAGGUAGGUUUACAUCUUGAUUAGCAUCGAUCGCAGUGAUGCAUUAGAAUUGUACUCUGUAGUUUGUUUUUCAUUUGUCUUACCAAACAAUACUACUGUUGUUUUCGGUUCCAUUCCACAAAGGUCAUUAUCAUCUCUCAUACUAUAUAGCCAAAGAGGUCAGUCACAAUGAUCGACUCCGGCACUGAAACACCUGAAUUCAUGUGUUGAUCAGCUGCACAAAAUAUAUAACCGUAUACAGGGGUCAAGUUCUGCGGAAGAGUGCGGGAACUCACCCAAGAUCCAUCUCCCCCCCCCCUAAAAAAAAUUAUACGCUCGUGUAUACAUAUUUCAUUUUUUAAAGACCGGUGAGUAGCCAUUUCUAUAAUGUCGUGUUAUUUCUUGACCCUGAAGAAAGUCCCGAACGGGGACUGAAACGUUGGUCACUAUUUUUAAACUUCAUUAAAUAAAAUUUCAUUUUUUUAAAGACCGGUGAGCAGCCAUUUCUAUUUGGAUACUGUGUCAUAUGGAGCUCUGGUUGAUGCGCCCGGCAGUGAAGCGGUUAAAGCGUGAGUGCAGGGGAUUUUUGUAUAUAUAUAUAUAUAUAUAUAUAUAUAUAUAUAUAUAUAUAUCUGGGUGAAGGGGUGACAGUGUGUGGAGGCUGAAAGUAACUGGGGAUGGUGUUGUAUGGAGGGGGUGUCAGUGUGUGUAUGGGGAUGAUAGAGUUUGUGUGUGGGUGAUAGUGUGUGCGUGUAUGGGGGGAAUGACAGGGUGUGUGUGUGUGGGUGAUAAUGUUUGCGUGUAUGGGGGUAAUGACAUGGUGUGUGUGUGGAGAGGUGACAGGGUGUGUGAGGGGGGCUGUGACAGAGUGUGUGAGGGGGGCUGUGACAGAGUGUGUGAGGGGGGCUGUGACAGAGCAAGUGAGGGGGGGGCUGACAGGGGUGUGUGAGGGGGGGCUGACAGGGUGUGUGGAGGGGGCUGUGACAGAGGUGUGAGGGGGGCUGUGACAGGGUGUGUGAGGGGGGG